UAUUUCAUUGAGACUUCGGUGGAUUUGAUCUAUUUCUAGUGGCGGACGGGUGAGUAACGCGUGGGUAACCUGCCUUAUACAGGGGGAUAACAGUCAGAAAUGGCUGCUAAUACCGCAUAAGCGCACAGAGCUGCAUGGCUCAGUGCGAAAAACUCCGGUGGUAUAAGAUGGACCCGCGUUGGAUUAGCUAGUUGGUGGGGUAACGGCCCACCAAGGCGACGAUCCAUAGCCGGCCUGAGAGGGUGAACGGCCACAUUGGGACUGAGACACGGCCCAGACUCCUACGGGAGGCAGCAGUGGGGAAUAUUGCACAAUGGGGGAAACCCUGAUGCAGCGACGCCGCGUGAAGGAAGAAGUAUCUCGGUAUGUAAACUUCUAUCAGCAGGGAAGAUAGUGACGGUACCUGACUAAGAAGCCCCGGCUAACUACGUGCCAGCAGCCGCGGUAAUACGUAGGGGGCAAGCGUUAUCCGGAUUUACUGGGUGUAAAGGGAGCGUAGACGGUGUGGCAAGUCUGAUGUGAAAGGCAUGGGCUCAACCUGUGGACUGCAUUGGAAACUGUCAUACUUGAGUGCCGGAGGGGUAAGCGGAAUUCCUAGUGUAGCGGUGAAAUGCGUAGAUAUUAGGAGGAACACCAGUGGCGAAGGCGG
rnacentral:rRNA from 1 species